GUGUCCAGACUAGCCAUGCACGUCUAAGUACAAACUAAAUGAUGGUGAAACUGCAAAUGGCUCAUUACGACGGUUAUGAUGUACCCGGGAGUUCCGAUGGAUAUUUCCAGUAACACUAGAACUAAUACAUGUCCCUGCGUUUAUUAGUUUCGCACAGUCCGUCGCUGAGUCAUGGUAAACAGUUGAUCGACUCGACGUCCCGGAACAGUUUCCGCCCCAUCAGCUUCGAUGGUUGGGUAUUGGCCUACCAUUGCAACAACGGGUAACGAGGAAUUAGGGUUUGAUUUCGGAGAGGGAGCCUGAGAAACGGCUACCACAUCUACGGAUGGCAGCAGGCGCGCAAAUUACCCAAUGCAGACACUGUGAGGUAGUGACGAGAAAUAAUAAAGCGGGACUUCUGUUUCGCUAUUAUAAUGAGGAAUAACCAAAGGUCAUUCCGAUUAGCAACUGAUGGGAAAGUCUGGUGCCAGCAGCCGCGGUAAUACCAGCGUCAGUAGCAU
rnacentral:rRNA from 1 species